rnacentral:rRNA from 1 species
CGUAGGUGGCAAGCGUUGUCCGGAUUUAUUGGGUUUAAAGGGUGCGUAGGCGGUGAUUUAAGUCAGUGGUGAAAUACUUCAGCUUAACUGGAGAGGUGCCAUUGAUACUGGGUCACUUGAGUACUGAUGAGGUAGGCGGAAUGGACGGUGUAGCGGUGAAAUGCUUAGAUAUCGUCCAGAACACCGAUAGCGAAGGCAGCUUACUAAGGAGUAACUGACGCUGAGGCACGAAAGUGUGGGGAUCAAACAGGAUUAGAUACCCUGGUAGUCCACACUGUAAACGAUGAUCACUCGAUGUUGGCGGUACACAGCCAGCGUCUUAGCAAAAGCGAUAAGUGGUCCACCUGGGGAGUACGCCGGCAACGGUG